rnacentral:rRNA from 1 species
CAGUAGCGCGGGAAUACGGAGGGCGCGAGCGUUACCCGGAUUUACUGGGCGUAAAGGGCGUGUAGGCGGCCUGGGGCGUCCCAUGUGAAAGGCCACGGCUCAACCGUGGAGGAGCGUGGGAUACGCUCAGGCUAGAGGGUGGGAGAGGGUGGUGGAAUUCCCGGAGUAGCGGUGAAAUGCGCAGAUACCGGGAGGAACGCCGAUGGCGAAGGCAGCCACCUGGUCCACUUCUGACGCUGGGGCGCGAAAGCGUGGGGAGCAAACCGGAUUAGAGACCCGCGUAGUCCCUGUCUCUUAUACC